rnacentral:misc_RNA from 1 species
CGCACAUUGCGCCUUUUGGUAUUCCGAAAGGCAUGCCUGUUUGAGUGUCAUACAGACUCUCAUAUGCAGUUUUCUGUAUAUGAGUUUUGGACGCUGCCGGUUACGGCUCGUCUUAAAUGUCUAAGUGGAAUGCGUAAUAAGUUUUCGCUCCCUCCACUCUAAUAAACUUUUAGUUUAGACCUCAAAUCAGGUAGGACUACCCGCUGAACUUAA